UGCCGAAUAGCUCAGUUGGGAGAGCGUUAGACUGAAGAUCUAAAGGUCCCUGUUCGAAUCCCGGGUUUCGGCAA